GGGCACAUGGUGUAGUUGGUUAUCACGCUCGCUUAGCAUCUUAUAUCGUUUGCGAGAGGUGUUGGGUUCAAUUCCCAAUGUGUCCA